ACAAGUACCGUGAGGGAAAGUUGAAAAGCACUUUGAAGAGAGAGUUAAAGAGGACGUGAAACCGGUAGGAAGGAAACGGAUAGAGUCAACGUAUCUAGCCUGUAUUCAGCUGGUGGUUUGCGCCAGGCGUGUCGGUCCGAUCCUGCCUCAUCGCUGGUCGGUCGGCGCGUCGUUACGGUGCGAUUCGGUAGUGCAUUUGCAGGUGGAGUGCGCCGAGACGUGUGGUGCGGGGGCUGGAAGCGCGUUUUGAGGUCACACCAUUCGUGGCGUGAAACCCGAUCGCGACGAAGGCUUUUCGUGCUACUCGUAGUGUGGGUGCGUUUGCGUUGCUGGGCGCUGUUGUGGCGGUGGGCGGCGGUCGCAUGCGACACGUGCUUUGCUGCUGCGACGGUGUUCGACAGCGCGUCGUGCUCGAUCUCGGUGUAAAAGUUGGUCAUCUAUCCGACCCGUCUUGAAACACGGACCAAGGAGUUUAGCGAAUGCGCGAGUCAUUGAGUGGACAAAACUCAAAGGCGCAAUGAAAGUGAUUCUAACGAAGUAUGCGAUCGAGUGCGCCUCGGCGUGUUCGAGCAGCAUAGCCCCGUCCCGAUCGCUUGCGAUGGGGCGGAGGUAGAGCGUAUUUGCUGAGACCCGAAAGAUGGCGAACUAUUCCUGAGCAGGACGAAGCCAGAGGAAACUCUGGUGGAAGUCCGAAGCGGUUCUGACGUGCAAAUCGAUCGUCUGACUUGGGUAUAGGGGCGAAAGACUAAUCGAGCCAUCUAGUAGCUGGUUCCUUCCGA
rnacentral:rRNA from 1 species